ACUACGGGUGGCAGCAGUGGGGGAUAUUGCACAAUGGGGGGAACCCUGAUGCAGCGACGCCGCGUGGGUGAAGAAGCGCCUCGGCGCGUAAAGCCCUGUCAGCAGGGAAGAAAAUGACGGUACCUGAAGAAGAAGCCCCGACUAACUACGUGCCAGCAGCCGCGGUAAUACGUAGGGGGCAAGCGUUAUCCGGAUUUACUGGGUGUAAAGGGGGCGCAGGCGGCGAUGAAAGCCAGGAGUGAAAGCCCGGGGCCCAACCCCGGGACUGCUCUUGGAACUGCGUGGCUGGAGUGCAGGAGGGGCAGGCGGAAUUCCUGUUGUAGCGGUGAAAUGCGUAGAUAUCAGGAGGAACACCGGUGGCGAAGGCGGCCUGCUGGACUGCAACUGACGUUGAGGCCCGAAAGCGUGGGGAGCAAACAGGAUUAGAUACCCUUGUAGUC
rnacentral:rRNA from 1 species